AUGAUUUUUUUCUCUGAGUUAGAAGUGUUGAAGGUAACUUUGCCAGAUGAUUUGAUGUCAGCACCUGAGAUUCUUCAAUUUGUUACAGCUGUAGGUUGCUAUCCAAAUGUGUCAGUUGCUUAUCGGAUCCUCUUGACUAUACCGGUGACUCUAGCCUCAGCUGAAAGAAGUUUCUCUAAACUAAAACUACUGAAAAAUUGUUUGAGGUCAACUAUGUUACAAGAGAGAUUGAAUGGCUUGGCUACCUGUUGUAUUGAGAAGGAUAUCUUGGACAGAAUUGAUCUUGAUACUCCCAUCAAUGAUUUUGCAUCCCGAAAUGCUCGAAGAAGUUUUUUUUUUAAAAACUGA
rnacentral:rRNA from 1 species